rnacentral:rRNA from 1 species
CCUACGGGAGGCAGCAGUGGGGAAUCUUGCGCAAUGGGCGAAAGCCUGACGCAGCAACGCCGCGUGCGGGAAGAAGGCUUUCGGGCUGUAAACCGCUUUCAGCAGGAACGAAAAUGACGGUACCUGCAGAAGAAGGAGCGGCCAACUAUGUGCCAGCAGCCGCGGUGAUACAUAGGCUUCAAGCGUUGUCCGGAUUUAUUGGGCGUAAAGAGUUCGUAGGCGGUCGAGUAAGUCGGGUGUGAAAAUUCUGGGCUCAACCCAGAGACGCCACCCGAUACUGCUUGACUUGAGUUCGAUAGGGGAGUGGGGAAUUCCUAGUGUAGCGGUGAAAUGCGCAGAUAUUAGGAGGAACACCGGUGGCGAAGGCGCCACUCUGGAUCGAUACUGACGCUGAGGAACGAAAGCAUGGGUAGCAAACAGGAUUAGAUACCCUGGUAGUCCAUGCCGUAAACGGUGGGCACUAGGUGUGGGUUUCUAUUAACGAAAUCCGCGCCGUCGCUAACGCAUUAAGUGCCCCGCCUGGGGAGUACGGUCGCAAGCUAAAACUUAAAUGAAUUGACGG